UUGCUUCAGCAGCACAUAUACUAAAAUUGGAACAACACAGAGAAGAUUAGCAUGGCCCCUACACAAGGAUAACAUAUAGAUUUGUGAAGCAUUCCAUAAUUUU
rnacentral:snRNA from 1 species